CCAUAAGUGAAAUCAACUCAUUCU
rnacentral:miRNA from 1 species